ACAAUAAAUAAUUUUUCAGAUUUUUUUUUCAAUAUUUUUCUCUAUUUUACUUAAUCCAACAUAUAAAUAGUACUCACUACAUAUAAAACUCCAAAUUUUAUUAUUUCAAUGGAUAAACGCCAUGACAAGUACUUUUUAUGCAGUUUUUUUUUUUUUUCAAUUUAAACCGAAAAGUUUAUCGAUGAUUAGGCGAAAUCAAAUAAAUUUAGCACGACAGGAUUACUACAUGUUUUGUCACGGCAGUGAGACCAGUGAAAAAUAUUUGGAGUUAAAAACAAAAAAAAAAAAACAAUAUCAGUAUAAUAGAAAACUAAAAUUUCAUUGUUGGGAUUUUAUAACUGCAUUGAAUGAAUUUAUUUUCCGAAAUGACAUGUUUUUUUUUCAGCAAUUAAGUUUUGAUGUUUUGAUAAUAAUAUGAAGAAGUUAAAAUACAAUUUUACAAUACAGAAAAAAAAAUGGAUUUUUUAAUGGUUGGAUGGAACAUUGAACACUAUUUCGUACUGAAUCUAUUCUACACAAUUUAUUUUAUAUUAGCAAGGAUUUAGCGCGAAUUAUUAACGUCAAAAAACCAUGUCAUUUACAAUCAAAUUUAAAGAGUAAUAAUUUUCAUGAUUAAAAAAAAAAUACUUGUUCUCAUUUAUUGUAUUGCCAGCAAUAAUAAAACAUAUUGUUAUGUUUGUUCCAACGUCAUGCAAAAAUAUAAUUCAAUCAUUCCGGAAUGAUUUCAAAAGUCAGGUACAGUCAACAGCACAUCAAGUUACCCUCCAUUAAACUCUAUUGCGCGGUAAUUGCGGCGAGUUUGCAAUGAAUUUGGGCAGGUUGAUAUGCUGUUUACUGUACCUAUAGUGAAUUUUUAUUUUUGCGGCGUUAUCACGCAAGAGAGCAGCAACAGAUAAUUUUGACAUUGACAGUUCCACGACUACAAUUGAUAUUAACAUGGCAACGGGUGAUGUUGGUACCGCACUGCUGAGAACUGCUUUCGAUGCAAAAGUACGUAUAUUGCUAUCUCUUUCGUCUGAUCCGAUCUCUCCUGGCGCGGUGAAAGGUACAACUGUUUGAUAUAAUUACAUGAGUCCUCUGCCGCGUCAUGUCUGCCUCAAAAACUACUGCACAGAUUUUCUUGCGGUUUUCACCAAUAGAUAAUCUAAGUGCUGAGGAAGGUUUGGGUGUAGGCCUUUCACCCGAGCGAAGCCGGGACGGGCUGCUAGUAUAAGCUAUAAUAUGUAUAUUACUCUUAAUGAAAGAGACACCAUUACAUUUUGUAUGAAAAAGUUCUUGCAAGUGCUCCGACGUUGGUGCAGUCUUCUUUGCGUAAUAUUCAUUUAUGUAAAUUAUCUGAUAUGUGAAUGAUAAAAAAUCUGUUAUGCGAACGAGUGAAGUCAAAUGAUACGUACGUAAAGAAAUAAAAAUAUAUAAUUGUGAAUAUAUUCGAUUUUAAAAACAAUUGUAUUAAAAAGGUACCAAACAUUUUAAAUGAUUUUCUGCCCGAGUGCAUUCUAUAUGAGGUACCUUUUCAUGCAUGUUUUGAAUGAAGAAUAUUUUUUUAUUUAUUAAACAUAUAUUAAAUUAACAUUGUAUCAGCACUUUACUUAAUUAUAAAAUGGGAUAAUCAAAUCGAUUACUGUGUAUGGUAUAAUUUAAUAAACACUAAAGAAAGCCCGUGAAAUUCACCCUAGUAUAUGUGGCUGUCCAAAUCAAAAGGGAUCUUAUGGCGCCCGGUACUCACGUCAUUAUUGCCAUUGUUUUGUAUUGGAACAACGGCAAUAAAGACUUAAGUGCCAGCCGCCAUAAGGUCCCUUUUGAUUUGGACGGGAAGUUCAAAACUUAAGUUUCUGUUUAAUGAGUUGUUUAGGCAUUUCUUCUCGGUAGUGAAUCAAAAUCAAAUCAUUUAUUCAGAAAGUAGGCCUUCACAGGCACUUUUUCACGUCAUAUUCUAAAUUAAAUGAUGUUUACCAAAUUUAAAAACUACUAACAUUUCGGAACGACCACUGCUGAGAAGAAAUGUGCCGAAAGAAACUCAUUCGAACAGUGUCUAGUUGCCUGUUGUUGUAUAUACAAUGCACUAGACGUUGGUCGUUGUGUGAGAAGCACCUUGUUCGUGUACGUACAACACGUGUGCAACACUCGGCAGAGCGGCGGCCGCGCGCGCGCGCUGAGCCGCGGUGCGCUGUGCGCCGCGCUGCUCUCCAACCUGCUGUCGCUCGCGCUCGGCGUCGGGCUCGGCGUGUGGCUGAGCCGGAGAGGCGUGCUGCCGCCGCGACUGAUCAUCCUCAACUAGAUACCACCAGCUGACACUACUCCACAACAUGGCCGCAGAAAGUUUAACACUAUUAUACAGGGUGAUGUAACACCUAUAUAUAUAUACAUACGAAGUGAUAAGACACGGUGACUUGGUUACAUUCUGUAUGAGGAGUUUCAGGUUUAUAUUAACACUUUUAAAAAAUAUUUAAGGUUUUGAAAGAUGAAAAAAAUGUUUAUUUGGUACACCGAUAAAGAUUUAAAAUAACAUUAGUUAUGCAUAGUUACAGUCUGUCCAGAAAGUGAGGAAAACGGAUUCAAAAUUCUUUAUUCAAUUUAGGAUGAUAUACAUCACUUAUUGACGUCAAAAAAUUACUUAAACUAAGUCUACUGCCGGCUUCCAAAGCGCAGGUGAAGAAGAAGCGGCGCAACAAACUUCACCGCGGCCUUUUCUCCAAGGACGUCAAUUAACAAAUAUAGGUCUUAUACAUAUACUAAAAAUUAUGAGGACGAAUUUACAUCAUUUGUAAAAAUGACAAAAUUUGAAUGAAAAAUAAAAAAAUAUGUUGUAUUUCCAAUAAAAUUAUUGAAAAUUGUCACACAAAAAAAAAUAAAAAGCUUAAUUUACAUUUUUUGAGGAAGUAAAUUUUUUCGCCAUUGCAACACCGAAUAUAAUGGUCAGGAUUGGUUGAUGGACGCCAGUGUUGCCCGUCGACAGGAGACAGCGCUGUCGCUUUUAUUUCUUCACUUACUGGACAGACUGUAUUUGCAUUCCGUUAAUCUUAUCAUUUCGUGUAUAUAGGCUUUGUAACCACUUGUAUAUGGUAUAUAGUCCACUGGAAACCUGAACUGUAUAGUUUAGGUAUGACACCCAGGUGAAGAACUUUGGUGAAGCACGGGUCCGGACUCGACUUGUGGCGCCUUCAAUUGAAGACAUUUUAUACAGUCAAUAUUUCCAAACUAUCAUUAUAUGUAUAUAUUAUAUAUAAAGUAUGUUUUAAACUAUAGGUUUAAAAUAUAAUCUAUUUAAUCAGACAAAUAAUUUGCGUGAAAGUUUAAUUCUUGCUAUGAAAUGUUAUUCAGUAUUUUGUUACCAAUUAAAAACUGUUAGCUAUCCGAUAUAUUACAAUAGAGGGCGUUACUAAGUUGAAAGCUUACUUGUAUGUGGACCGUAUGCAUGUCUGCCAACUGAAAUAUGGACUGUCGUAAAGAUAUACGAAUCGGUGACGUGAUUUUGCUGGUUUCUCAGUGCGAGGUGUAGUUAAUAUUAAUGUUGAAGCGUUUAUCACUAUACUGGCUUGUGAGGGCGACGUUUCAAGUAAAAUUGCUUAUAAUUCGAAAGAUUUCACACUAACUAUAAUAAUUAUGAUAUUUUUCACAAAAGUUUUAAUGUUCCUCAGUUUAAACCAUACGGAUUUUUAUUCUAAUUAAGAUAAUGCAUAACAUUUCAAUAAGAAAUACAAGCAGAGUCGCGGUCAAAAGCUAAUAUACUAAUAUCGCUUCGAAGCCCGACUGUCUCUUUGGAUAGAUAAAGAAAGAAAACUGAAAAAAAAAAACAGUGUAUUGUUUAGUCUAUGCCAUUUUUGUAUUUUUCAAUACAUCUCUUAGACUUUUGGACAUUUUGUGCGAAUCGUCAAUGAUUUUGUGUUGUAUGGAAAGUUACGAGCACACAAAAGGUUUACAUUUGUUUUUUUUUCCAUAAAAUUUGAUAUGGCAAAGAGUACAUAUUUAUAUUAAUAUAUAGUGAUUUGAUGUUGUGACUGGGAGAGGCUAUGUGCUCAAACAUUUGAGUUUUACAAGUCGCAAAGUUGGCCAAAACUUCAUGCUAUGAUAAAUUAUAGCUAUCUCUGUCUUGCUGUGAAAACGAAAGGGUACGCUAUAGGUUUCAAUGUUUGGGCCGCUGUAGAGUGCGACGGCUGUGAUGUACAAUGUACAUCACACAGUACACAAUGUUUAUUGAAAUGUUUAAGUUGUAACGCUUUAAAAUCAUUGAAGGUUCGCAAAAACCCUAUACAUAUUUUUCUAUGAAAGGACUAGUCUUAAGAAUAUUAUAAAAAUACAUUUUAAAUUUUGUUUGUUUUGUAACUGUCAUAAAUAUAACACAGGAAAACAUUCACACGGUAUAUGAACGAUAUUUUGGUGUUAGACUACCGCGGAAACAGUCUAGCAAACAUCUUAGAGAAAUUAAUGUGAUUUUAUUAAAAAUAUCUUUCAAAAAUACUUAAUUAUUAUUUCUAUGUUAUAUUCUCGACAUGUGGAAGUAGUUUGUUUAUCUCUCGGAGUUAGGUAACACUGAACAUUUGAUGUUUAAGCUCAUAUCUCUGUAAAUUUAAGUUUUGUCCACUUUUUCUUAUAAAGUUUAACGAUAAAUCGACCGUUAUUAUGACUAUUUCUCAAUAUGACAGCGACAAUAUAAUAAAACUUUUAAUAUUGGAUAUUAUAACCGAAACAAAAUUUUACAUUUUUCCAAAAGUAGCUUGACCUUUUUAGAAUAAAUAUAUAUUAAAAAAAACAGCUUGGUGAUUUUCUGAAACGGAAAAUGUGGACAGAUUAUAUAUUUAAAAAAGCGAUUCAGCUGUGAUUGUGAAAACGGGGGAAUAUUUUAUUUAUGGGAAAAGCGCGCCAUUUUUUAGAAAAUACUAGAAAAUUACUCAAUGGAUUCGUUGUUUACAUAUUUAUAUUUGGAAUGAUUGAUUAGGAAUAUGUGAAUUUUAUUUUAAAAUUGCCUUUCGGAUUCCCUUUCAAUUGAUUUUAUAAAACAAGUGUACUGGCAAAUACAUUUUAUUCCCUUUAUAUAUCCCUAAUCAAUCAUAAGUAAUACCUGAAAAGGGAAUUAUUUUUAAGUUAAAAUGCAUAGUAGAGAGUUUGGAUCGCUAGAUUGUUUAUUCGAUUAAUAUUAUGACAGUAAAUUAGAAAUAUACCAUUUACGGGUGGACCAAGACUUAACGCAGAUAACAUUGUGGAGGGUGAAAUUAGUCAUAAACUAGUAAUUACUACUGAACUUAUAAAUUUAUUUAUUUAUUAAUAAAUAAAAAUAUUUGAAAGGACUUUCGGCCACGGCUGUAUGUAGUUCAGACCACUAUUGUUUUUAUUUUAUUUAAUCUGCAAAGUCUGUUUUUUUUUUUAAACUUAAAUAUUUUUUUUACAAAUGGCCAGUUUAGUGUUUUAUGUGCAUAGGUUUUUUUCGGUUUUUGAAUUGAGUUGUGAUCUCAUUUACUGUCAGGAAUAUAGGUAACGCGAAAUUUUUGUAAAUACAUACAUGUUACACGUGUCAUUUUAAUCACUAAUGUAAGUGCUUAAAAUAUAAGGAUAUAUGCAUUUUUAUUA